UAUGUAGGGUGCAAGCGUUGUCCGGAAUUAUUGGGCGUAAAGAGCUCGUAGGCGGUUUGUCGCGUCUGCCGUGAAAGUCCGGGGCUCAACUCCGGAUCUGCGGUGGGUACGGGCAGACUAGAGUGAUGUAGGGGAGACUGGAAUUCCUGGUGUAGCGGUGAAAUGCGCAGAUAUCAGGAGGAACACCGAUGGCGAAGGCAGGUCUCUGGGCAUUAACUGACGCUGAGGAGCGAAAGCAUGGGGAGCGAACAGG
rnacentral:rRNA from 1 species